rnacentral:tRNA from 1 species
AGAAAGGUGCCUGAAAAAAAGGAUUAUUUUGAUAGAAUAAAUCAUGUGUUGCACACCCUUUCUU